rnacentral:rRNA from 1 species
UACGAAGGGGGCUAGCGUUGCUCGGAAUCACUGGGCGUAAAGCGCACGUAGGCGGAUCUUUAAGUCAGGGGUGAAAUCCCGGGGCUCAACUCCGGAACUGCCUUUGAUACUGGAGAGCUUGAGUCCGGAAGAGGUGAGUGGAACUCCGAGUGUAGAGGUGAAAUUCGUAGAUAUUCGGAAGAACACCAGUGGCGAAGGCGGCUCACUGGUCCGGUACUGACGCUGAGGUGCGAAAGCGUGGGGAGCAAACAGG